rnacentral:rRNA from 1 species
UUAAGCGACUAAGCGUACACGGUGGAUGCCCUGGCAGUCAGAGGCGAUGAAGGACGUGCUAAUCUGCGAAAAGCGUCGGUAAGGUGAUAUGAACCGUUAUAACCGGCGAUGUCCGAAUGGGGAAACCCAGUGCAAUUCGUUGCACUAUCGUUAACUGAAUACAUAGGUUAACGAGGCGAACCGGGGGAACUGAAACAUCUAAGUACCCCGAGGAAAAGAAAUCAACCGAGAUUCCCCCAGUAGCGGCGAGCGAACGGGGAGCAGCCCAGAGUCUGAAUCAGCUUGUGUGUUAGUGGAACGGUCUGGAAAGUCCGACGGUACAGGGUGAUAGUCCCGUACACCAAAAUGCACAGGUUGUGAACUCGAAGAGUAGGGCGGGACACGUGGUAUCCUGUCUGAAUAUGGGGGGACCAUCCUCCAAGGCUAAAUACUCCUGACUGACCGAUAGUGAACCAGUACCGUGAGGGAAAGGCGAAAAGAACCCCGGCGAGGGGAGUGAAAAAGAACCUGAAACCGUGUACGUACAAGCAGUGGGAGCACCUUCGGGUGUGACUGCGUACCUUUUGUAUAAUGGGUCAGCGACUUAUAUUCUGUAGCAAGGUUAACCGUAUAGGGGAGCCGCAGGGAAACCGAGUCUUAACUGGGCGUUAAGUUGCAGGGUAUAGACCCGAAACCCGGUGAUCUAGCCAUGGGCAGGUUGAAGGUUGGGUAACACUAACUGGAGGACCGAACCGACUAAUGUUGAAAAAUUAGCGGAUGACUUGUGGCUGGGGGUGAAAGGCCAAUCAAACCGGGAGAUAGCUGGUUCUCCCCGAAAGCUAUUUAGGUAGCGCCUCGUGAACUCAUCUUCGGGGGUAGAGCACUGUUUCGGCUAGGGGGUCAUCCCGACUUACCAACCCGAUGCAAACUACGAAUACCGAAGAAUGUUAUCACGGGAGACACACGGCGGGUGCUAACGUCCGUCGUGAAGAGGGAAACAACCCAGACCGCCAGCUAAGGUCCCAAAGUCAUGGUUAAGUGGGAAACGAUGUGGGAAGGCACAGACAGCCAGGAUGUUGGCUUAGAAGCAGCCAUCAUUUAAAGAAAGCGUAAUAGCUCACUGGUCGAGUCGGCCUGCGCGGAAGAUGUAACGGGGCUAAACCAUGCACCGAAGCUGCGGCAGCGACACUAUGUGUUGUUGGGUAGGGGAGCGUUCUGUAAGCCUGCGAAGGUGUGCUGUGAGGGUUGCUGGAGGUAUCAGAAGUGCGAAUGCUGACAUAAGUAACGAUAAAGCGGGUGAAAAGCCCGCUCGCCGGAAGACCAAGGGUUCCUGUCCAACGUUAAUCGGGGCAGGGUGAGUCGACCCCUAAGGCGAGGCCGAAAGGCGUAGUCGAUGGGAAACAGGUUAAUAUUCCUGUACUUGGUGUUACUGCGAAGGGGGGACGGAGAAGGCUAUGUUAGCCGGGCGACGGUUGUCCCGGUUUAAGCAUGUAGGCUGAUUGUCCAGGCAAAUCCGGAUAAUCAAGGCUGAGGUGUGAUGACGAGGCACUACGGUGCUGAAGUAACAAAUGCCCUGCUUCCAGGAAAAGCCUCUAAGCAUCAGGUAACAUUAAAUCGUACCCCAAACCGACACAGGUGGUCAGGUAGAGAAUACCAAGGCGCUUGAGAGAACUCGGGUGAAGGAACUAGGCAAAAUGGUGCCGUAACUUCGGGAGAAGGCACGCUGGUGUGUAGGUGAAGUCCCUGCGGAUGGAGCUGAGACCAGUCGAAGAUACCAGCUGGCUGCAACUGUUUAUUAAAAACACAGCACUGUGCAAACACGAAAGUGGACGUAUACGGUGUGACGCCUGCCCGGUGCCGGAAGGUUAAUUGAUGGGGUUAUCCGUAAGGAGAAGCUCUUGAUCGAAGCCCCGGUAAACGGCGGCCGUAACUAUAACGGUCCUAAGGUAGCGAAAUUCCUUGUCGGGUAAGUUCCGACCUGCACGAAUGGCGUAAUGAUGGCCAGGCUGUCUCCACCCGAGACUCAGUGAAAUUGAACUCGCUGUGAAGAUGCAGUGUACCCGCGGCAAGACGGAAAGACCCCGUGAACCUUUACUAUAGCUUGACACUGAACAUUGAGCCUUGAUGUGUAGGAUAGGUGGGAGGCUUUGAAGCGUGGACGCCAGUCUGCGUGGAGCCAACCUUGAAAUACCACCCUUUAAUGUUUGAUGUUCUAACGUUGGCCCCUUACCGGGGUUGCGGACAGUGUCUGGUGGGUAGUUUGACUGGGGCGGUCUCCUCCCAAAGCGUAACGGAGGAGCACGAAGGUUAGCUAAUCCUGGUCGGACAUCAGGAGGUUAGUGCAAUGGCAUAAGCUAGCUUGACUGCGAGCGUGACGGCGCGAGCAGGUGCGAAAGCAGGUCAUAGUGAUCCGGUGGUUCUGAAUGGAAGGGCCAUCGCUCAACGGAUAAAAGGUACUCCGGGGAUAACAGGCUGAUACCGCCCAAGAGUUCAUAUCGACGGCGGUGUUUGGCACCUCGAUGUCGGCUCAUCACAUCCUGGGGCUGAAGUAGGUCCCAAGGGUAUGGCUGUUCGCCAUUUAAAGUGGUACGCGAGCUGGGUUUAGAACGUCGUGAGACAGUUCGGUCCCUAUCUGCCGUGGGCGCUGGAGAAUUGAGGGGGGCUGCUCCUAGUACGAGAGGACCGGAGUGGACGCAUCACUGGUGUUCGGGUUGUCAUGCCAAUGGCACUGCCCGGUAGCUAAAUGCGGAAGAGAUAAGUGCUGAAAGCAUCUAAGCACGAAACUUGCCCCGAGAUGAGUUCUCCCUGAGACUUUAAGUCUCCUGAAGGAACGUUGAAGACGACGACGUUGAUAGGCCGGGUGUGUAAGCGCAGCGAUGCGUUGAGCUAACCGGUACUAAUGAACCGUGAGGCUUAACCUU